UAGAAUUAUUCGAAGAAUAAUAUGUUAAGAAGUUUAUUAACAAAGAGGAAACGGAGAAAAAUCCCUAAGAACUAUGCCAUCCUAAAGGUGAAACCAAUGAGGCAAGAAGCCGUGGCGGGGAGUAACCAGAGUAGAGGCGCUGUUUAAGGGAAAAAGUAUCCAAAUUACCAUGCUAAUAGUGAUCGACGAACAUAUUAUUUAAGAAUAAUCUAGUAUAUAGUAAUCUAAGAUGACCAUAUUUUGUUAUGUACAUGGUUGAAGGGAAUAUUUUGAAAAAAACAAUUUUAUGAAAAUGAAUAAUUAUUUAUCUGAUGUGAUGGUAGAUAAAUUUAAAAUACUUAUUUUGUAUGCACUUAAAGAUAUAAAAGUAGCAGAUAUAAGAAAAGUCAUAUUAGAAAAAGCAUUUGGUGAAU
rnacentral:lncRNA from 1 species